rnacentral:rRNA from 1 species
UUAGAGAAAGAGGGUUGUCCUCCCAGAUGAACGCUGGCGGUGUGCCUAAUACAUGCAAGUCGUACGCACUGGCCCAACUGAUUGAUGGUGCUUGCACCUGAUUGACGAUGGAUCACCAGUGAGUGGCGGACGGGUGAGUAACACGUAGGUAACCUGCCCCGGAGCGGGGGAUAACAUUUGGAAACAGAUGCUAAUACCGCAUAACAACAAAAGCCACAUGGCUUUUGUUUGAAAGAUGGCUUUGGCUAUCACUCUGGGAUGGACCUGCGGUGCAUUAGCUAGUUGGUAAGGUAACGGCUUACCAAGGCGAUGAUGCAUAGCCGAGUUGAGAGACUGAUCGGCCACAAUGGAACUGAGACACGGUCCAUACUCCUACGGGAGGCAGCAGUAGGGAAUCUUCCACAAUGGGCGCAAGCCUGAUGGAGCAACACCGCGUGAGUGAAGAAGGGUUUCGGCUCGUAAAGCUCUGUUGUUGGAGAAGAACGUGCGUGAGAGUAACUGUUCACGCAGUGACGGUAUCCAACCAGAAAGUCACGGCUAACUACGUGCCAGCAGCCGCGGUAAUACGUAGGUGGCAAGCGUUAUCCGGAUUUAUUGGGCGUAAAGCGAGCGCAGGCGGUUGCUUAGGUCUGAUGUGAAAGCCUUCGGCUUAACCGAAGAAGUGCAUCGGAAACCGGGCAACUUGAGUGCAGAAGAGGACAGUGGAACUCCAUGUGUAGCGGUGGAAUGCGUAGAUAUAUGGAAGAACACCAGUGGCGAAGGCGGCUGUCUGGUCUGCAACUGACGCUGAGGCUCGAAAGCAUGGGUAGCGAACAGGAUUAGAUACCCUGGUAGUCCAUGCCGUAAACGAUAUCAGU